rnacentral:lncRNA from 1 species
GACAAACUUUUUCUCAAGGUAUCUGCAUAUGAUGUGCAGCCACCGCUCUAUAUGCUUGGACUUCUAGUGAGAUCUCACUCCUUAACGAGGGCUAUGGCAUCGUUAUUGUCACAGUGUAGUGUGAUAGCAUCUGAUGGCAUGACACCUAGCUUCGUGAGGAACUUCUUGAACUAGAAUGCUUCUUUAGCAGCUUCAGAGGCAGCAUUGUACUCGACUUCGAUGGUCA